AUUGAACGCUGGCGGCAUGCUUUACACAUGCAAGUCGAACGGCAACGCGGUCUUCUGCCUGGCUGCUAGUGUCGCACAGGUGAGUAAUACAUCUGAACAUCCCGAGUAUGAGUGUGGGGCUCGUCGAGAGCCGGAGUAAUACCGCCUACUACCUGAUGGUGAAAGCUGGGGAGCGUCGGACCUCUCGCUAUUGUGGCGGCCGAUGGCCGAUUAGCUAGUUUGUUGGGUAAAGGCCUACCAAGCCGACGAUCUGUAGCUGGUCUGAGAGGACGACAAGCCACACUGGGACUGAGACACGGACAAGAGGACUAAGGGACGCCGCAGUGGGGAAUGUUGGACAAUGGGCGAAAGCAUGAUACAGCAAUGCCGAGUGUGUGAUGAAGGCCUUCGGGUUGUAAAGCACUUCUGGCGGGAAUGAAAAGCACUGUGCCAAUACCACGGUUGGAUGACGGUAACCGCAGAAUAAGCACCGGCUAACUACGUG
rnacentral:rRNA from 1 species